AAUNACCCAAUCCUGACUCAGGGAGGUAGUGACCAGAAAUAACAACACUGGAAAUUUUNUUUCUAGUGAUUGGAAUGAUGGGAAUUUAAACCCCUUUGAGAGUNACNUGUUGGAGGG
rnacentral:rRNA from 1 species